ensembl:misc_RNA
CUGCUCCCUCUCUUCUCUCUGCUAGAGACCGGAGGCCUUGAAGGAAGGAGGCCCAACGGUCUCUUCUGGCUCUGCUUCCCUAUCACCGCCCCUACUUCCCCGCAUCCCUUUCCCUGGCAGAGGCUUCUUGCCAUAGCGCUCUGGGCACUCACAAGAC